rnacentral:rRNA from 1 species
UACGAGUGCUCCGAGCGUUAUCCGGAAUUAUUGGGCGUAAAGGGUGUGUAGGUGGUAGUGUUAGUCUUCUGUUAAAUUCUUCGGCUUAACCGGGGGCAUGCAGAAGAGACGGCACAACUAGAGGAUGCGAGAGGUGAAUGGAACUCAUGGAGUAGGGGUGAAAUCCGUUGAUAUCAUGGGGAACACCAAAUGCGAAGGCAAUUCACUGGCGCACUCCUGACACUGAGACACGAAAGCGUAGGUAGCGAAUGGG